UUCCUCGUUGGUGGGCUAUGGGGAUCCUGGGAUGGUAAUGGGGGUCCUGUCACGGACUGUGGGACUCUGAGAUCCCAGGAGAGGACUGUGGGCGUAAGAGAGGUCUGAGGAAGAAAACAAGGGGUUUCAGCAGGAGCUCAGAGGGGGAUGUGGGCUGCUGCUGGGAACUGCAGGAGCCUGUGAUGGCCCAGCUUGUCUGUGGGGGAGAUGUGCUGAGUCUGAGAAGGUCCUUGAGGAGCUAUAGGGCUCUCUGGGGGUGUGUUUGGAGGAUAUAGGGACAUUAAGGGAUGUGGGAACACAGGCUGCAGGAGCAGAAUGCUGUUCAGGAGAAAACAAGACGUGCGCUGCAGGUGGGACACAGGGGAAUGGGGUAGUAUGGGGACAUAGAGAGUAUGGGAGGAUGUGGGGAGCGGUUUGAGGUAAAAAGAGGGGGGGGGGCAGAGUUUGCAGUGGUUUCAUUUCAUCCUGAGAGGGGACUGGGCGUCCCUGUGGCCCAAAGGUGGGGCCCUGAGCCGUUACCCCACAUGAGC
ensembl:lncRNA